rnacentral:rRNA from 1 species
UACGGAGGGUACAAGCGUUGUCCGGAUUUAUUGGGUUUAAAGGGUGCGUAGGCGGCCAAUUAAGUCAGGGGUGAAAGACGGUAGCUCAACUAUCGCAGUGCCUUUGAUACUGAUUGGCUUGAAUGUACUUGAGGUAGGCGGAAUGUGACAAGUAGCGGUGAAAUGCAUAGAUAUGUCACAGAACACCGAUUGCGAAGGCAGCUUACUAAAGUGUGAUUGACGCUGAGGCUCGAAAGCGUGGGGAUCGAACAGG